rnacentral:rRNA from 1 species
UACGUAGGCAGCAAGCGUUGUUCGGAAUUACUGGGCGUAAAGAGUGUGUAGGCGGUGCUCUAAGUUCGGUGUGAAUCUCCCGGCUCAACUGGGAGGGUGCGCCGGAAACUGGAAUGCUUGAGCGUGGGAGAGGAAAGCGGAAUUCCUGGUGUAGCGGUGAAAUGCGUAGAUAUCAGGAGGAACACCUGCGGUGUUAGACGGCUUUCUGGACCAUUGCUGACGCUGAGACACGAAAGCGUGGGUAGCAAACAGG